rnacentral:misc_RNA from 1 species
GAUUGAAGAACGUAGCGAAAUGCGAUACGUAAUGUGAAUUGCAGAAUUCAGUGAAUCAUCGAGUCUUUGAACGCACAUUGCGCCCCCUGGUAUUCCGGGGGGCAUGCCUGUCCGAGCGUCAUUGCUGCCCUCAAGCACGGCUUGUGUGUUGGGCCUCCGUCCUCCUCCCGGGGGACGGGCCCGAAAGGCAGCGGCGGCACCGCGUCCGGUCCUCGAGCGUAUGGGGCUUCGUCACCCGCUCUUGUAGGCCCGGCCGGUGCUUGCCGACACAUCAAUCUUUUUUCCAGGUUGACCUCGGAUCAGGUAGGGAUACCCGCUGAACUUAAGCAUAUCAAUAAGCGGAGGA